CAGUAUAAAAUCGUAGAUGGAAUGUUUAUUUUUAUGUGUCGAAGUUUUUAUCAUCAUUCACAUUGUAAAGCAAUCAUUUACCACCUUGAACAAAUGGAUUCAAUUCCAGACUUCAAAUAUUUUUCAGAGAGAAUUCAAUUUCAGCCAGGCUUCUUCAAUCCCAUCCUUCAAUCUUUCAGUUAAACUCUUGAACCACCAAGCUAUUGGAAAAUUUAUGAGGUGGUCUAAAAAUGGCUGCUGUCAAAAAUAUCUGUUAGCAGAUUAAUUCAAAUUAACCUAAUCAGGUUCCUAGCAAAAAUAAACAAUUACUUUUUAAUGCCUCUUCCCAAUCAUUGGCUGACUUCUAUAUAAUGAUAUCCAUUCCAGAUGCAAUUAUGAAUUAUAUCUGUGGUGGAGUCAUAGGACUUUACAAUAAGUGAAUUAAUGCCUCGGGCAGAUCCAUUAAAAAUUUUAUAGAAACAUGGAAUGUAAAUUCCCUGCUUCUAUGCAUUUAGGAUGGGUUUGAAUAGGUCAAACCUGGACAUCUAAAAUAAAUAAUUUUGGGAGGUAUGAUACCCAAAAUUAAAUAUGAAUACUGCAUGGUGAAAAUAUAUGCUUCCAUCAUGGAGAUAGCUCAAUUAAUCAGUUAAUUGGCUGCCAAUAUUAUAAAAUCAUUGAUGACUGCCAUUGUAAAUACAAAUUUUUGACAUAAAUAAUUGCUGUCAUGAAUUGGAGAUUUCCUAUAUAGUCAUCUUCAAAAUUACAUUGUUUUGAUAUUGGAAACAUAAAUUGAGG
rnacentral:lncRNA from 1 species